rnacentral:rRNA from 1 species
UACGUAGGGUGCAAGCGUUAAUCGGAAUUACUUGGGCGUAAAGCGUGCGCAGGCGGCUUUGCAAGACAGAUGUGAAAUCCCCCGGGCUCAACCUGGGAACUGCAUUUGUGACUGCAUGGCUAGAGUGCGGCAGAGGGGGAUGGAAUUCCGCGUGUAGCAGUGAAAUGCGUAGAUAUGCGGAGGAACACCGAUGGCGAAGGCAAUCCCCUGGGCCUGCACUGACGCUCAUGCACGAAAAGCGUGGGGGAGCAAACAGGAUUA